CUUUUGACUAAGCCAAAGUCUCUUUAGCGAGGAAUUCUACACUAUCACACUGGCACCACGUCAUUAAUAACAAGCCAAUAACAAGCCAAUCAUCUUUCUUCUUUUCAAAUAAAAGUACAAUAAAAAUAUUUUUUUAUAAUCACGAUGGGACAUAUAUUUCUAAAAAGAAUUUUUUGAUUGGUUUGUUACGCCACGUCAUCAAUAUACCCGUUGCAUUCUAGAAUUUUUCCUCUUUAGCUAGCCAAGCUACUUCAGUU
rnacentral:lncRNA from 1 species